UACUUAGUUAGUUGGUGAUGACUGAGUGUGGCUAUGGAUGCCACGUGCACCCCCCAUGCAUGCUUAUCAACAAAGUUACAUGUGGGCAUUUCUUUAUUUUACUUGUCACUCUCUAUUUCUCUGGAGCCGUACGCAAGGAGGAGGAGAACCCAGUUAGAGCGCGUGUGUCGCCGACGUCGCGCCGCGGUACCGUUUGAGCGUGUGUUCGUCGUCGUAGCAUCGCGAGGAGGCCGGGCGAGGGUGCGUUUACGCCGUUCUCGACGUCGCACAGGAUUGGAAUUAGCUUUUGAGGUGGGUUUAUCAUCAGAUUUCUACUCCUAUAGUCCCGUUGGUCGACAUGUAUAAUUUGUGUUAUACGUUAUUAUUGUUUUAGCUCAAAUUCAUAGGUAUGCAUGUUUUUAGACAUAUGAACUGAAUUUGGAGCAUGUUAUUAAUUGUUAGUAAUUAUACAUGUUGGAUUUGGAUAAGACAUAGGAGAAAACCAACGUUCGGGACUUGUCAUAUGUAUAAAUUAUCUGAUUUAGCUCUAUGAGCCGUUGUAUUUUGUAUUGUCGCAGUAUCCUUUUGGUGAGUACCCCAGAUAGUUCAGAUUACUGUUACGCUCGUGCUGGAAUGCCGAGCCGAUUUUUACAGUAGUGUUUAGACUGUUCCGGACUAGUGGGUGCCGUCACGAUUGACGGUGGACCCCGAAUUAUCGUUUUGGUAUCAGAUUGUGCCGAGAGCACGUGACUAGUUGGUUGGUAGUUCAGUUGGACAUGUUUUCUUGACUUUAGCCUGUGAGAGCCUAAUUGAGCUCGGCAGAGAUACGCUUGCAUACUCGGUUGAGUCGCGCCCACGAGUGCCCCUCCGGAGUCUGGCUUUGUGCUUUCGCAUUGAUGUCGCUGAUUAUAUUUGCUACCCACGGACUACUUAGUAUAGAGGUAGCGUGGCUUAGACAAGCGGGACGAGUGCGUUCACAGUCCCUGGGACGGGGUACGGUUACAGUCCCUAAUGAGAUUGGGUCAGAAUUGACAGUUGCUACAGUUGGAUAGUGUAGGGUAUGAUAGUGUAGUGGCAUAUAGCUGUAAAUUUUUUUCUAGCUUUACCUACUAGCUUUGUUUCCUACUGUAGUCAUAGUGGGUGGACCGAUGAUGUUGAAGGCAGUACCCACUGAGGACUACUUAAUUUUACAGUAGUUCUCACGCCCAGUUGUUCCUUUUUAUUUUACAGAGCCAUCGUCGUCGGCUGUUGCUGAUCCUGAUCGUGAUAAGGGCGUCGCGAGUUAGAGCCCUACCAGACGAGUUAGAGCUAGUGGAGUACCAGCUAUAGGUAGUUGUAGUUUUUGGUUCAUCACAUACUAAUGUUAUACCUCGCUGGAGCGAGUGUUUUUAUACCAGGAUACUGUGUAUGUAUUAAUCCAUUUUUAUUAUAUGCUCAUGUUUCUUUUCCCUAGCAGCUCUAUACUACUGGUUGUAAUGUUGUAUUAUUACUGGUACAGUUACAACUUCGCUUCGUAUACAGGAAAAAUUUCUUUGUAUACGGCGGAUUUGUUGGCGUGCCCGAGGAACGUGAUAUCCGGGGCGUGACAACCAUCUUAUAAAAUAAAAAAGUCACAAGAGGUACCGUGUGAACUGUGAUGACAAAAUGACUAUUUUGCCCCUUACCAUUUUCGUCUCCUCCCUCAUCUUACUCAUCCACCGCCUCGAUCGGCCGCGGUUCCUCUCCAUUUUGUUUUUCACCAG
rnacentral:lncRNA from 1 species